rnacentral:rRNA from 1 species
UUCCUACGGGGCGCAGCAGUGGGGAAUAUUGCACAAUGGGCGAAAGCCUGAUGCAGCGACGCCGCGUGAAGGAUGAAGUAUUUCGGUAUGUAAACUUCUAUCAGCAGGGAAGAAAAUGACGGUACCUGACUAAGAAGCCCCGGCUAACUACGUGCCAGCAGCCGCGGUAAUACAUAGGGGGCAAGCGUUAUCCGGAUUUACUGGGUGUAAAGGGGGCGCAGACGGCAGCGCAAGCCAGGAGUGAAAGCCCGGGGCCCAACCCCGGGACUGCUCUUGGAACUGCGCGGCUGGAGUGCAGGAGGGGG